rnacentral:pre_miRNA from 1 species
UGAUUGUCCAAACGCAAUUCUUGUUACAUCCUAACCAAGAACUGUGGGUGGACAUCAGU